rnacentral:tRNA from 1 species
UAGCUCAGCCGGUAGAGCAACUGACUUUUAAUCAGUAGGUCUCGGGUUCGAAUCCCG